rnacentral:rRNA from 1 species
AGCCCGCUCGCCGGAAGACCAAGGGUUCCUGUCCAACGUUAAUCGGGGCAGGGUGAGUCGACCCCUAAGGCGAGGCCGAAAGGCGUAGUCGAUGGGAAACAGGUUAAUAUUCCUGUACUUGGUGUUACUGCGAAGGGGGGACGGAGAAGGCUAUGUUGGCCGGGCGACGGUUGUCCCGGUUUAAGCGUGUAGGCUGGUUUUCCAGGCAAAUCCGGAAAAUCAAGGCUGAGGCGUGAUGACGAGGCACUACGGUGCUGAAGCGACAAAUGCCCUGCUUCCAGGAAAAGCCUCUAAGCAUCAGGUAACAUCAAAUCGUACCCCAAACCGACACAGGUGGUCAGGUAGAGAAUACCAAGGCGCUUGAGAGAACUCGGGUGAAGGAACUAGGCAAAAUGGUGCCGUAACUUCGGGAGAAGGCACGCUGAUAUGUAGGUGAAGCGACUUGCUCGUGGAGCUGAAAUCAGUCGAAGAUACCAGCUGGCUGCAACUGUUUAUUAAAAACACAGCACUGUGCAAACACGAAAGUGGACGUAUACGGUGUGACGCCUGCCCGGUGCCGGAAGGUUAAUUGAUGGGGUUAGCGGUAACGCGAAGCUCUUGAUCGAAGCCCCGGUAAACGGCGGCCGUAACUAUAACGGUCCUAAGGUAGCGAAAUUCCUUGUCGGGUAAGUUCCGACCUGCACGAAUGGCGUAAUGAUGGCCAGGCUGUCUCCACCCGAGACUCAGUGAAAUUGAACUCGCUGUGAAGAUGCAGUGUACCCGCGGCAAGACGGAAAGACCCCGUGAACCUUUACUAUAGCUUGACACUGAACAUUGAGCCUUGAUGUGUAGGAUAGGUGGGAGGCUUUGAAGUGUGGACGCCAGUCUGCAUGGAGCCGACCUUGAAAUACCACCCUUUAAUGUUUGAUGUUCUAACGUGGGCCCCUUACCGGGGUUGCGGACAGUGUCUGGUGGGUAGUUUGACUGGGGCGGUCUCCUCCUAAAGAGUAACGGAGGAGCACGAAGGUUGGCUAAUCCUGGUCGGACAUCAGGAGGUUAGUGCAAUGGCAUAAGCCAGCUUGACUGCGAGCGUGACGGCGCGAGCAGGUGCGAAAGCAGGUCAUAGUGAUCCGGUGGUUCUGAAUGGAAGGGCCAUCGCUCAACGGAUAAAAGGUACUCCGGGGAUAACAGGCUGAUACCGCCCAAGAGUUCAUAUCGACGGCGGUGUUUGGCACCUCGAUGUCGGCUCAUCACAUCCUGGGGCUGAAGUAGGUCCCAAGGGUAUGGCUGUUCGCCAUUUAAAGUGGUACGCGAGCUGGGUUUAGAACGUCGUGAGACAGUUCGGUCCCUAUCUGCCGUGGGCGCUGGAGAACUGAGGGGGGCUGCUCCUAGUACGAGAGGACCGGAGUGGACGCAUCACUGGUGUUCGGGUUGUCAUGCCAAUGGCACUGCCCGGUAGCUAAAUGCGGAAGAGAUAAGUGCUGAAAGCAUCUAAGCACGAAACUUGCCCCGAGAUGAGUUCUCCCUGACUCCUUGAGAGUCCUGAAGGAACGUUGAAGACGACGACGUUGAUAGGCCGGGUGUGUAAGCGCAGCGAUGCGUUGAGCUAACCGGUACUAAUGAACCGUGAGGCUUAACCUU